rnacentral:rRNA from 1 species
GACAGAGGGUGCAAACGUUGUUCGGAAUUACUGGGCGUAAAGCGCGUGUAGGCGGCUUCGCAAGUCGGGUGUGAAAGCCCUGGGCUCAACCCAGGAACGUGCAUUCGAUACUGCGGAGCUGGAGUCCCGGAGAGGAUGGCGGAAGUUCUCGGUGUAGAGGUGAAAUUCGUAGAUAUCGAGAGGAACAUCGGUGGCGAAGGCGGCCAAUCUGGACGGUGGA